rnacentral:rRNA from 1 species
UACCUGGUUGAUCCUGCCAGUAAUCAUAUGCUUGUCUCAAAGAUUAAGCCAUGCAUGUCUAAGUACAUGCCGAAAUAAGGCGAAACCGCGAAUGGCUCAUUAAAUCAGUUAUGGUUCCUUAGAUCGUUUCUUCCUACUUGGAUAACUGUGGCAAUUCUAGAGCUAAUACAUGCAGUGAGCCUGAAGCCCUUUGGGCGACGGGUGCUUUUAUUAGACCAAGAUCGAUCGGGUUUCGGCCCGUAUUGUGUGGUGACUCUGGAUAACUUUGUGCUGAUCGCAUGGCCACGAGCCGGCGACGUUUCUUUCAAGUGUCUGCCUUAUCAACUUUCGAUGGUAGGUUACUUGCUUACCAUGGUUGUUACGGGUAACGGAGAAUCAGGGUUCGAUUCCGGAGAGGGAGCCUGAGAAACGGCUACCACAUCCAAGGAAGGCAGCAGGCGCGCAAAUUACCCACUCCCGGCACGGGGAGGUAGUGACGAAAAAUAACAAUACGGGACUCUUUUGAGGCCCCGUAAUUGAAAUGAGUACACUCUAAAUCCUUUAACGAGGAUCAAUUGGAGGGCAAGUCUGGUGCCAGCAGCCGCGGUAAUUCCAGCUCCAAUAGCGUAUACUAAAGCUGCUGCGGUUAAAAAGCUCGUAGUUGGAUCUCAGUUCCAGACGAGUAGUGCAUCUACCCGAUGCGACGGCUCGGACUGAACAUCAUGCCGGUCCUUUCUUGGUGCACUUCAUUGUGUGCCUCGAGAAGGCCGGUGCUUUUACUUUGAAAAAAUUAGAGUGCUCAACGCAGGCGAGUCGCCUGAAUAAACUUGCAUGGAAUAAUAGAACAAGACCUCGUUUCUGUUCUGUUGGUUUUUGGAAUACGAGGUAAUGAUUAAGAGGGACAGACGGGGGCAUUCGUAUUGCGGCGCUAGAGGUGAAAUUCUUGGACCGUCGCAAGACGAACUACUGCGAAAGCAUUUGCCAAGAAUGUUUUCUUUGAUCAAGAACGAAAGUCAGAGGUUCGAAGGCGAUCAGAUACCGCCCUAGUUCUGACCAUAAACGAUGCCAACCAGCGAUCCGCCUGAGUUACUCAAAUGACUCGGCGGGCAGCUUCCGGGAAACCAAAGUGUUUGGGUUCCGGGGGAAGUAUGGUUGCAAAGCUGAAACUUAAAGGAAUUGACGGAAGGGCACCACCAGGAGUGGAGCCUGCGGCUUAAUUUGACUCAACACGGGAAAACUUACCCGGCCCGGACACUGGGAGGAUUGACAGAUUGAGAGCUCUUUCUUGAUUCGGUGGAUGGUGGUGCAUGGCCGUUCUUAGUUGGUGGAGCGAUUUGUCUGGUUAAUUCCGAUAACGAACGAGACUCUAGCCUAUUAAAUAGGUGCGGGGUUCCCAGCACCUUACAACCUUCUUAGAGGGACAAGCGGCUCCUAGCCGCACGAAACAGAGCAAUAACAGGUCUGUGAUGCCCUUAGAUGUCCGGGGCCGCACGCGCGCUACACUGAAGGAAGCAGCGUGUCUUUAUCCCUGUCUGAAAGGACUGGGUAACCCGUGGAACUUCUUUCGUGAUUGGGACACACGCGAGACAGAUGUUCCCCUUGAACGAGGAAUUCCCAGUAAGCGCGAGUCAUAAGCUCGCGUUGAUUACGUCCCUGCCCUUUGUACACACCGCCCGUCGCUACUACCGAUUGAAUGAUUUAGUGAGGUCUUCGGACCGAUGUCCGGCGCGGCCUUUCGGUUGCGCCGGUCUGUUGGAAAGAUGACCAAACUUGAUCAUUUAGAGGAAGUAAAAGUCGUAACAAGGUUUCCGUAGGUGAACCUGCGGAAGGAUCAUUA